UAAAGCCUUCUGAUGGCCAAUGGCAUCCACUGUAAAUGACACCCCUCAAGGCAGACUGGAAUGAACACAAGGAAACUUCAACAAAUAUGCCCUGGGCCCACCCCAUCCAGGGCCCCAACAACGGCCUCCAGGGACUUCCUUGCUGCGGAGCUCCUCCCACCAGCAACUGCCCAGCAGAUGACACAGUUGACAGGUGGCGCCUCCCGCUCCCAGCCUGAGUCCUCAAAUCAGAAGCUGAAAAAAACAGAGCCAGAGACGAGGCCACGUGACCUGCCAAAGAAAUGAAGAGCAGGCCGGGGGCGGGGACUCACGCCUGUAAUCCCAGCACUUUGGGAGGCCACGGUGGACGGAUCAUGAGGUUCCUCCAGCUGAAAGAUGCUGAAGUGAGAGGGCAGCCACACAGCAUCAGGAAGAGCAAUGUUGAGGUGGAGAGAGGAGCAGAUGAGCCCUGAGGACUCACCCCAAUGUCCCACACUCUACCCAUGAAAAUGAUGCAACAUACUUUAAAAUUUUGGGCAACAACUCAGAACCACCCACUAACAACCAUACACCCUGACAUAACCUUCUAAGCUGCUGCAGAAGGGACAGAGGGAGACGCUGCCUCUGGUCAUUAUUCUGAGCGCUGUAUUAUGAACAUGAUGACAGAAUGCACUCAACCUGCUUUAGAAGUUUGAUCUUUGUGUGCCAGUAUUUCUGAACACUUAGCCAAGGAUGGAUGGCUCAAUUCUAGAACAGCUCAAGCUUUCCUGAGAACGCCUGCUCAAAGGCAUAUUUGUUAAGGAGUAUUUUUUAUGCAGUUAGGCCAAGGUGCCAUAAAAAUGACCGAAGCAACAAAUCUCCAUGUAUAUUACACACUAGGCAAGCUUCAAGGCCAACCCAGGCCCAAUGGGGGUCUGAAAAACACGAGCAAAAUCAAUCAACUCUGGGCAUUGCUCCUUAGGAUGUCAGAGUGUGCCCACAUGUAGCGACCACUGGGUGGCCACUGUUUGUCCUCUGCCUUGGCACUCGGUCAGUAUUUAACAUAUGUUUAUUGAAUGAAUGUCUGCAUCCUGUAGGAAGAAAUCUGAAUUGUAUUCAUCUUACUCUGUAUAAUAUGACAGACUUUAAGAAAUAAUAAAAUAAAGCAAAGCUUUUAAAAGCUGAUAAAUC
rnacentral:lncRNA from 1 species